UACGUAGGUGACAAGCGUUGUCCGGAUUUACUGGGCGUAAAGAGCGCGCAGGCGGUCGAUCAAGUCGAGUGUGAAAGCCCCCGGCUCAACUGGGGAGGGUCAUUCGAUACUGAUCGACUCGAAGGCAGGAGAGGGUAGUGGAAUUCCCGGUGUAGUGGUGAAAUGCGUAGAUAUCGGAAGGAACACCAGUGGCGAAAGCGGCUUCCUGGUCCAGCAUCGACGUUCAGGCACGAAAGCGUGGGGAGCAAACAGG
rnacentral:rRNA from 1 species